rnacentral:tRNA from 1 species
UUGAAAGCUUUAAGCGUUAGAUUGUAAAUCUUUUCUUGAUUAUUUUAUCUCU